UUUUCUUUUGGGGCCUAGUGGUGCAUUGAGCUGAGGUCAGUAAUUGCCCACUGGGAACUAUCAAUUAUAGUUCUCACGCCCUCUUUUCUCGAUGUUUUUCAGAGCCUUCCACUCAGGGUGAGGCCAGGGAUCGCGGAAAGGGUAUCGCCUCGGGCUAGCGCGCUUACCGGGGGAUCGUUUGAUAGGUGGUCUACCUCUCGUGUUUUCUUUUUGUGAGAGGUUAAGAGUUGUACCCGUAUAUGUAUAGAGACCACCAUUUUUGUACUAGAGACAGUAUUGUACUACUUAUGGUUACCUUUGUUUGACUAGCUUGAUUUCUUUACCUUGGUAUAGAUGAUAGAACUUUACUUGCUCUGAUAUCAUUAGUUGCUAGUUAUUUCAUUUCUUAUAUUUGUUCUAUCUCUUGCUUUUACUUCCGCUUUUGUUGUAGACGCCUUAUAUGUGUAGACAUAUGGCGGGUCUGGGCACGCUACCGGGAGGGCCUCCGCCGGUCCCGGGGCGUGACAAAAC
rnacentral:lncRNA from 1 species